AUUGAACGCUGGCGGCAGGCCUAACACAUGCAAGUCGAGCGAGCGGCGGACGGGUGAGUAAUGUCUGGGAAACUGCCUGAUGGAGGGGGAUAACUACUGGAAACGGUAGCUAAUACCGCAUACCAUCAGAUGUGCCCAGAUGGGAUUAGCUAGUAGGUGGGGUAACGGCUCACCUAGGCGACGAUCCCUAGCUGGUCAGAGAGGAUGACCAGCCACAGUGGAAGUGUGAGCCGGACCAGACGCCUGCGAGAGGCAGCAGUGGGAAAUAUGGCACAAUGGGCGCAAGCCUAACGCAGCCAGGCGGGGUGUGUGAAGAAGGCCUUCGGGUUGUAAAGCACUUUGAGCGGGGAAGCGUUACCCGCAGAAGAAGCACCGGCUAACUCCGUGCCAGCAGCCGCGUAAUUC
rnacentral:rRNA from 1 species